rnacentral:lncRNA from 1 species
AUUUAGGAAGAGAAAUGCAAAACCCGGAGAUGAAGCUUAUUUUAGGAUCACAAGUGCACGCUCUGGUAGACGGAGGAUGACUUUGUCAGUCUUCUGGCUGAAGGGCCUUGUCCAAAGUCAGGAUCAGAAAUAGGUCAAGGGCUUGUUUUCAUGAGGGAGAGAUUGGAACACUCGCAGGUGUACGAAGUCCUCGUCGCCGACGUGCACCUGGGAAGAGAGCGGAGUGAGCGAAGCCUCUGAUCCCAAGUCACCUUGCUGCGCCCCUCCAGGUCAUUAGCAGCCAGCUGAAGACAAUCUUGUCUUCUCCUGCACUUGUUUCCUUGGGGUUCUUAG